UUUACUGAAAGAGCUAAAGCCAAAGACGACCACAUUAUACGGCUUUCCUUGGUCUUUCAUGGCUUGGGCAUGUGAAGUCACUCCUCCCCUCCGAAAGUAUUUCAUGGAUUACCUGGAUAAGGUUUCACAUCCAAGGAUCCUUAGGUGAUUGGUUGCAGUAGAGAGAACCAAAACAAAUAUCAACGAGGCUGAUCUCUUUAACCCUCCGGAUGAUGCAGUUGUGCAUCCUUGGAUCGUGCCUACCAUUGAUGAGCUGGGGAUGACUUCUUUUCUUACU